rnacentral:lncRNA from 1 species
GGCCAUCUAUUGCUAGAAAAGGAAUUGGCCAUACUUUGCCUAUUCAUCCCAUUAAUUAGCUAAUUCAUUUGGUAAUAAUCCUAUUUUGCCAAAUUAAUUAGUCAAUUAAUCACAUAACUCCUAAAAUCAUAUUAAAUCAAGAACCCUAUCCCUAUAAAUAGGCUCCCAUUCUCACCAAAAACCUAGGUCCUCACUCUGGCUAAAAUUCUCCAAAGCUCUCAAACACUUUUCUCUCAAAAUUCUAACUUUGGUAUCGGUGGUUCUUCGGCCAAAGUCCCCCCCAUUCAUCGUGGGCGCGUGAGGCUCUUGGCCUUGACCUAAGGUGUUAAUUGUUUUGUAGGUGCAAUUUUGUCCAAGAUCAAGGAGGAAGAAAUUUGCAUCCACAAAUUGGUGUUUUCAUUGAGAGUUGAGAUCCAUACUUGUAGAAGACUCUCGCAUAAAAAGGCUAAAUAUGAUCAUAGAAGCGGCAUCAUCGCUGCGGGGCUCCACUAUGGCAACCAUCGCGGUGGCCACCACGGUCACCACCACCUGUGGUGAGGUCUAUGGCACCACUACAACGGCCCGAGCUAUGCCAUCCAAGGCUCACGGCACCAAGGCCACGGCCCAAGCAAUGUCACUCCAAGCCCAACGCGAACUCAAUGUGUUGCCAAGCCAAGCCCAAGCCUCGCACCCAUGUGCAUCACACUCCGAGCAGUCUGCUCUCACUGAGCAGCCCACUCUCAUGGCCCAACCUGCUCCCGCCGAACAACCCACUCUUAUGGCCCAGCUUGCUCUCGUGGCCCAGCCUGCUCCUGACAAGCAGCCCACUCCCGUGGCCCAGCCUACUUCCGCCGAGUAACCCAUUCUCGUGGCCCAGCCUGCUCUCGUGGCCCAGCCUACUCUCGCGACCCAGUCUGCUCCCAUGGCUUUCCAAGCAGCCCAAGUCGGCCCAAGACUAUCUCAACCAUCCGGACCUACCAUCAAGCCGGGGGCAUUCUCACCAUAUUUUUUCACGGAUUUGACUUUUCCCAACUCAAAUCUCAAGCCCGGAGUCUACCACCCUUCCACUGCCCAAAGAGGCACAUUCCUUUAUGCUCUCCCAAUCCAAAUGGCGAACAACACUUGUCUUAACAAGUCGUAGAGUUGACGAGCGCCCUUGCACAACAGACAACCUUGGUGAAUCAACUUUUGCAAUGUACCAGGAUCCAAAGUGCCCCAGACGAGGUAUCCCGAAGUAGGACAAGGGCAGGCGAACCUUUCUAGCAGCGUCUCGCCAAGCAGCCACUCGAGCAGCCACGAGUCGAGCGUUCAGGCAGUGUACACUCCCGAUUGGGCUCCCGAGAUAAGGUAUACUCUCGUUUUAACACACGGAGGAGCGUGUACUCUCGACUAGGCCCACGAGUGAGCAUACACUCACGGUUAGGGUCACAUUUCGAUAGUCAACAUGAGCAACCUUCCGGGCAAAAUGUUCAUUCGCGGCUAAGCCCGCAAGGAGCAUCAUCCACCUCACAUUGGAGUAGGCAGCACAACGGACAGAGAGAAGCAGUCAUUCAAUCCAGCUCAAGUUAAACAAGCAGCCUGCGAAGAACUCACUCGUCUACUAGGAACGCACCACAUGCACUGUAUCCGCGGUAUAGACGAGCCAAACACAUGGAAGAGCAGCCUAGACCAGCAAGUUAUGGUUUGGGGUAGCCGAAAGCUCCGCUACCUCAACAAAGGCAAAUUCAGAAAGAAUUAGAGAGACUCUUGACCAAUCGAUUGCAUGAUUUCCAACGUAACGAGGUCACCGACGAGGCACUAUGACAGAACAUAACCAACAUAAGCAGGUCACCCUUCACGAACGAGAUCAAGCAGGCAGAGCCUCCACGCGAGUUCAACAUGCCACAUUUCACAUCUUUCAAAGGGGAUGAAGACCCGAAGAGACACUUAAAAACGCUAUCAAAACGCAAUGAUCCUUUAUCGAAACAACGAUGAUCUCAUGUGCAACAUAUUCACCACCACUCUACAAGGCAAGGCAUAAGAUUGGUUCUACACCCUGCCGCCAUAAUCCAUCAGGAAUUUCUACGAACUUUCUUUGGUUUUCACCAAAGAAUAUUCAUCCUAUCACUCGAUGAAAAAGAAGUUCGACCAUUUGUUUGACGUCAAGAAGAACCCAAAAGAAUCAAUUCGUGACUAUGUGAGGAGAUUCAAAGCAGAGAAGGUAAGGAUAGUCGGAUGCAACGACUCGAUAGUUAGAGCAGCCUUCCAAAAAGGCCUUCUAGCAGACCACCCGCUAUUCGAAAAAUUGAUCAUGAAAGAAGAUCUAACUUUGGCAGACUUUUUUGCUUUGGCAGAGAAGCAUGCACUUUGGGAUGAGGCUCGCCAAUGCACAUUCAAGGACUUGAAGAAGUACCCAACAUCACCUCCCUAGAAGCAGCGGAGGACUUAUUCUCAUGUUUGACGGUAUCUAAAGUAGCAAUAAGCUCUACCAUCAUGCGAGAAGAGCUGGGGGCCCGACUACCUGUAUUCUACAGUUCAAAAGCUCUCCUCGAUGCUAUUAAAAAUUCAAAAGCUAACUUUGGCGAUAAUUGUUGUAACCCAAAAGCUUAAGUUUUACCUUCAAAAGCACGCGGUCAUCAUCAUGACGUACUAUUCCGUCGAAUCCAAACCCGCGACGAUAAAGGCGUAGACCCUAGCAGAUGCAAAGUUUUCUGACGAACGCAACAACUCGGCCCAAAAGACACGCCAAAGGCAGCCGAGCACACUUUAGCCACACCUGCUCCCUCAAUGGAGAUUUCUGGAGUUUACAUGUAGACGGCGUAUCCAACGACGAAGGCUCGUGAGCAGUUGUGGUUCUUGCCACCCCAUGGAUUUUUGGGCAAAAAGGACAAAAAUACCCUUGAGGUGUACUAAGUUUCUACGCGCAAGCAGUAGACAAUCAUCCUUAACCAAGUUAAAAAUGCUCCAAAAAAGGUAACCAAUUCCAAAUUAUCUCAUCCAUCCUCAUUUUAGGUAAUUACUUCAUAACCUAUAAAUUGUUCCAUAUAAAUAGAGAUUAAUUGGCUAAUUAAUGAAUUAAUUCCUAAAUUCAUUAAUCAACCAAUUAAAUCACCAAUCACACCCAAAAAAUACCUCUUUUGGCCGGUUACCCACUCCCUCAAAGGAACCGGCCAUCUCCUUUUAUUUCCUACAUUUUCCACCAUAUCUUUCCUUUUUAUGAUAAUAAUUAGCUAAGAUAAAUAGGGAACUAUUAGCUAAUUAUUUCAUAAAAUCCCAAUUACCACAAAAUAUCCCCAAAUAUGCACUAAAUGGCCGGCCAUCUAUUGCUAGAAAAGGAAUUGGCCAUACUUUGCCUAUUCAUCCCAUUAAUUAGCUAAUUCAUUUGGUAAUAAUCAUAUUUUGCCAAAUUAAUUAGUCAAUUAAUCACAUAACUCCCAAAAUCAUAUUAAAUCAAGAACCCUAUCCCUAUCAAUAGGCUCCCAUUCUCACCAAAAACCUAGGUCCUCACUCUUGCUAAAAUUCUCCAAAGCUCUCAAACACUUUUCUUUCA